UGCAGCAAAAAAUCCCAGUUUGUGUUCCCCCUGUCUGCCUUCUCUGAUCUCAGAAACUAAGCAGAGUCAGGCCUAGUACCUGUAUGAAAUACCAUCUGGGAAUACAAGGUGCUGUAG
rnacentral:rRNA from 1 species